AUUGAACACUGGCGGCAUGCCUUACACAUGCAAGUCGAACGGCAGCGCGGACUUCGGUCUGGCGGCGAGUGGCGAACGGGUGAGUAAUACAUCGGAACGUACCCUGUUGUGGGGGAUAACUAGUCGAAAGAUUAGCUAAUACCGCAUACGACCUGAGGGUGAAAGUGGGGGACCGCAAGGCCUCACGCAGCAGGAGCGGCCGAUGUCUGAUUAGCUAGUUGGUGGGGUAAAGGCCCACCAAGGCGACGAUCAGUAGCUGGUCUGAGAGGACGAUCAGCCACACUGGGACUGAGACACGGCCCAGACUCCUACGGGAGGCAGCAGUGGGGAAUUUUGGACAAUGGGGGCAACCCUGAUCCAGCAAUGCCGCGUGUGUGAAGAAGGCCUUCGGGUUGUAAAGCACUUUUGUCCGGAAAGAAAUCGCGCUGGUUAAUACCUGGCGUGGAUGACGGUACCGGAAGAAUAAGCACCGGCUAACUACGUG
rnacentral:rRNA from 1 species